UGCAGCUUCUCGAUUUUUCCAUCCGUUUCUAGUUCUCUCUUUCGAAAAUCUCUGCUUCCAUUGCUCUGAACUUGCCUUCUAUCACUCUUAAACGCCGGGUUGUACUCGGCGAAGUCUGUGAAGGACCAAUAAAUGGAUUCGAAGAUGAACCAAGUCAAGGGACACGGAGGUCAGAAUAUCGGAGCUAUAAAUUGGCUGCCUUGAAAUUUUUUUAUUUAAUUAAUUUCAACAGAUUAGAGAUUUUAAUCUUCUGCACUUUAAAUUUAAAGCACGCUGUAUUACAGAGCAUACAAUUCCUUGCUGGCUAUUAGAUUUUUCAAGAGGGUUUUGCCUUUCUGAAGAGUUACUUUCAAGGAUAAAAAUGAGUGUUCCAAAGAAAGCUAGGAGUUCUGGUGAUGAAAUUAAAUUUAUCUUCUUGGUGGACUUAAAGAGAUAAAGUAUGCAGGAGAUUGGUAGGAUCCAACAUAUAAGAGGUCAUAUUUUUCACUUUCUGGAUGUGCAAAGUUUGGAUAGUACACAUCACCGGGCCAAACCUUUCUCAGGAAUGUCAUUCUAAAAGGAUAUUGGCAGGAGGGGGUGGAAUGUCAUUCUAAGAUAUAUAUAUCAGCAGCAAGGGUGUGGAAGCUCACACGCUCAGAUUUCAACGCGUUUCGAAGGUGGAAAUGACAAGAAUGUGCAGUGUGGACCUCCAAUUUCUAGUGCUAUGAUGCAUGAGGACUGCCAAAGUGAGAAUACUGGUUAGUUGUCAUCAAGCAGCCCUUGUAGAUGUGUAUUUUGUUUAUAUAUUGCUAGUUUAACCAUUAGUACGUUUGACUUGGGGAUACAAGCUUGGAUAUGUUAUAUUUUGUUGUAUAUAGAGAAUCCCGGGUAUGUCCAGCAUAGGAUAACAUGUAUUUUUUGGUUUAACAUUUGGAUGGGUUGUAUUGUUAGGUUGCAUGAAUCGGUCUUAGCCGAGAACAUGGGUUAUGUAAUAUAUUAACUUCACUAUUUUAGUGCUAAUGUUGAUUUAUGUUUAGUUUGUAA